GAUAGGCACACUGACGAGAUACUAUCAAAGAAGGUCAAUUAAAAGCUGGCUCCAGACCAACCGAGCAAGGACGAGCGAGCGUAAACGAACAUUUACACGACGAACAAAAGCGAGCGUAAAAUGCGAGUCAAGACACCGACGAGCGUCAAUAUUGGAUCUUUUGACGUACUGACAAGAGAUCAUUAUUCAAUUUGUACAUACAUAUCAUGUACUGACAAGGAAAAGAACCGUUCAUAUACCAUUCAUCCACCAAUGAGAUACUAUCAAAAGAUGGGAGCCGAGUGAACAAACACGAACGAACACGAAUGAACUACGAACAAACUUUAUUCCUUGACGAUUGGAGUAUGUAACGAGCAUGAAUGAAUUCAAAUAUACACGGAGUGUUGUGGUAGUUUA